GGUGGAGCAAAUCCCUAAAAGCCGUCCCAGUUCGGAUUGCAGGCUGAAACCCGCCUGUAUGAAGUUGGAAUCGCUAGUAAUCGCGGAUCAGCAUGCCGCGGUGAAUACGUUCCCGGGCCUUGUACACACCGCCCGUCACACCAUGAGAGUCGGGAACACCCGAAGUCCGUAGCCUAACUUGCAAAAGGGGGCGCGGCCGAAGGUGGGUUCGAUAAUUGGGGUGAAGUCGUAACAAGGUAUC
rnacentral:rRNA from 1 species